GGAUGAAGAACGUAGCGAAAUGCGAUAAGUAAUGUGAAUUGCAGAAUUCAGUGAAUCAUCGAAUCUUUGAACGCAUCUUGCGCUCCUUGGUAUUCCUUGGAGCAUGCCUGUUUGAGUAUCAUGAGCAAAUCUCAAAGUCAAUUCCUUUUGUUAAUUCAAUUGGUUUUGCUUUGGACUUGGAGGUCUUGCAGAUUUCACAGUCUGCUCCUCUUAAAUGCAUUAGCUGGAUCUCAGUAAUUAUGCUUGGUUCCACUCGGCGUGAUAAGUAUCACUCGCUGAGGACACUGUUAAAAAGGUGGCCAGGAAAAUACUGAUUGAACCGCUUCUAACGGUCUAUUAAGUUAGACAAUUGACCCCUUAAGUUUGAUCUCAAAUCAGGUAGGACUACCCGCUGAACUUAAGCAUAUCAAUAAGCGGAGGA
rnacentral:misc_RNA from 1 species